GACCUAGUAGGUGUGGCUGUUGCUCUUCUCUUCCUCCUCCUGCACUACCUGCUCUGCGCUGCUGCUGAUUAGACCUGAUGCGUGCUGCUCCGCCAGGUGAGCUGAAUUAGAGCAAUCAAGGGCGGGCGUGCCUAGUAAGCCUUAAAAUGCAUGCAGCAGUCAUUUGACCGGAGAGCGACAUACUGAGAGGACAGCAAACAAAGCAAUCCACUUGCCACUGUGAAGAAGACUUUGGACUAGAUGGGCUAUCGGUUUUUCACCCAUCUAUCUAUCCAGCAAAAGCUACCUAAGCAACUGGUCAAAAAUAAAUGGAGUGAAAUUCAAA